rnacentral:rRNA from 1 species
GACGAACGCUGGCGGCGUGCUUAACACAUGCAAGUCGAACGCUGAAGCCUAGCUUUUGUUGGGUGGAUGAGUGGCGAACGGGUGAGUAACACGUGAGUAACCUGCCCCCUUCUUUGGGAUAACGCCCGGAAACGGGUGCUAAUACUGGAUACUCACUGAUCUUCGCAUGGGGGUUGGUGGAAAGGUUUUUUCUGGUGGGGGAUGGGCUCGCGGCCUAUCAGCUUGUUGGUGGGGUGAUGGCCUACCAAGGCUUUGACGGGUAGCCGGCCUGAGAGGGUGACCGGUCACAUUGGGACUGAGAUACGGCCCAGACUCCUACGGGAGGCAGCAGUGGGGAAUAUUGCACAAUGGGCGAAAGCCUGAUGCAGCGACGCCGCGUGAGGGAUGGAGGCCUUCGGGUUGUAAACCUCUUUCGCUCAUGGUCAAGCCGCAACAUUGGUUGUGGUGAGGGUAGUGGGUAAAGAAGCGCCGGCUAACUACGUGCCAGCAGCCGCGGUAAUACGUAGGGCGCGAGCGUUGUCCGGAAUUAUUGGGCGUAAAGGGCUUGUAGGCGGUUGGUCGCGUCUGCCGUGAAAUCCUCUGGCUUAACUGGGGGCGUGCGGUGGGUACGGGCUGACUUGAGUGCGGUAUGGGAGACUGGAACUCCUGGUGUAGCGGUGGAAUGCGCAGAUAUCAGGAAGAACACCGGUGGCGAGGCGGGUCUCUGGGCCGUUACUGACGCUGAGGAGAGAAAGCGUGGGGAGCGAACAGAUAGAUUCUCUAGUAUCCAAGGCGAAUCCACAUUGGGCUGCAGCCCGGGGAUCACUAGUUCUAGAGCGGCGCACCGGGGACUUCAAUGCACCCUAUAAUGAGUAUAUUCGGCGCUCAUGGCGUGUUUGCAGGCCCCCUUUAAACGGAGUGAUAGAAAGACCGCCCGAUAUAUUGUUUGAUAUAUAAAAGGACACCCUCAGCCCUCUGUUAAGAAAAGAUGGUCUAACCCAUCGCGUG